AAGUCGUAACAAGGUUUCCGUAGGUGAACCUGCGGAAGGAUCAUUGAGAGAGUGGGGUGUGGGUUGUUGGAAUGUGUGGGUGAUAUGAGUGACAAAUUAUUCUUUAUCAAUAUGACUAGCCACCUGGGAUCUCUGGGCUCUU
rnacentral:misc_RNA from 1 species